GAUCAUGGCUCAGAUUGAACGCUGGCGGCAGGCUUAACACAUGCAAGUCGAACGGUAACAUAAAGAAGCUUGCUUCUUUGAUGACGAGUGGCGGACGGGUGAGUAAUGCUUGGGAAUCUAGCUUAUGGAGGGGGAUAACUACGGGAAACUGUAGCUAAUACUGCGUAGUAUCGAGAGAUGAAAGUGUGGGACCUUCGGGCCACAUGCCAUAGGAUGACGCCCAAGUGGGAUUAGG
rnacentral:rRNA from 1 species